UACAGAGACUGCAAGCGUUAUUCGGAUUCACUGGGCGUAAAGGGCGCGCAGGCGGCUACGCACGUCCGUUGUGAAAUCGCUCGGCUCAACUGGGCGGGGUCAGCGGAUACGGCGUAGCUGGAGCAAGCUAGGGGGCAAUGGAAUUCCCGGUGUAGUGGUGGAAUGCGUAGAUAUCGGGAGGAACACCAGUGGCGAAGGCGGUUGCCUGGAGCUUUGCUGACGCUGAGGCGCGAAAGCGUGGGGAGCGAUCCGG
rnacentral:rRNA from 1 species